rnacentral:misc_RNA from 1 species
AACGCACCUUGCGCCGCUCGGUUUUCCGAGGGGCACGUCUGUUUGAGUGUCACGUUAAUCUAUCACUUCGCACAUUUUAUUAUGUGUUGAACGUGGAUUUGGACUGUGCUGUUGCUUCGUUCAACGGCUCGUCUCGAAAUGCAUGAUUGCCUGCGGAGUCUUGCGCUGCAUGAGACUGGCGAAACGGUGUGAUAUUUUAUCUACGCUGGACUAGUCGGUUUUGACGCUAGCUGCACAAGGAGCGCUCCGGGCUUAUAAUGAAGAAGGACGAUUCGGUUCGUCCUCCAUUUUUCACCUUUGCGUUUGACCUCAAAUCAGAUGGGACUACCCGCUGAACUUAA